UACAGAGGUGCCAAGCGUUAGGCGGAAUCACUGGGCUUAAAGCGCGCGUAGGCGGAUGUUUAAGUGUCUUGUGAAAUCCCCAGGCUCAACCUGGGAACUGCAUCCGAUACUGGAUGGCUUGAAUUCGGGAGAGGGAUGCAGAAUUCCAGGUGUAGCGGUGAAAUGCGUAGAUAUCUGGAGGAAUACCGGUGGCGAAGGCGGCAUCCUGGACCGACAUUGACGCUGUAGCGCGAAAGCUAGGGGAGCAAACGGG
rnacentral:rRNA from 1 species